UACGUAGGGGGCUAGCGUUGUCCGGAAUCAUUGGGCGUAAAGCGCGUGUAGGCGGUCCGGUAAGUCCGCUGUGAAAGUCGGGGGCUCAACCCUCGAAUGCCGGUGGAUACUGUCGGGCUAGAGUGCGGAAGAGGCGAGUGGAAUUCCUGGUGUAGCGGUGAAAUGCGCAGAUAUCAGGAGGAACACCAAUUGCGAAGGCAGCUCGCUGGGACGUUACUGACGCUGAGGCGCGAAGGCUAGGGGAGCAAACAGG
rnacentral:rRNA from 1 species